rnacentral:tRNA from 1 species
GGGUAUAGCUCAAGGGGUAGAGCAUAUGCUUACAAUGCAGGAGGUCCUGGGUUUAAUCCCCAGUAACUCCU